GCCGGCAGCUAGCUCUCUGCAACUCUCACAUGGUCGCCCACCGAAGCUAAACAGAGCUGCGCCUGGUCAGUACCUAGAUGGGAGACCGCAUGGGAAACCUAGGUAGCUGCCGGAA
ensembl:rRNA 5S_rRNA 5S ribosomal RNA